rnacentral:rRNA from 1 species
AGCUAAUACAUGCAAGUCGAGCGAAUCAAUAGGAGCUUGCUCCUUGAGAUUAGCGGCGGACGGGUGAGUAACACGUGGGCAACCUGCCCUGCAGAUGGGGAUAACUCCGGGAAACCGGGGCUAAUACCGAAUAAUCAGUUCCUUCGCAUGAAGGAACUCUGAAAGACGGUUUCGGCUGUCACUGCAGGAUGGGCCCGCGGCGCAUUAGCUAGUUGGUGGGGUAAUGGCCUACCAAGGCAACGAUGCGUAGCCGACCUGAGAGGGUGAUCGGCCACACUGGGACUGAGACACGGCCCAGACUCCUACGGGAGGCAGCAGUAGGGAAUCUUCCACAAUGGACGAAAGUCUGAUGGAGCAAUGCCGCGUGAGUGAAGAAGGUUUUCGGAUCGUAAAGCUCUGUUGCGAGGGAAGAACACKUACGGGAGUAACUGCCCGUACCUUGACGGUACCUCGUCAGAAAGCCACGGCUAACUACGUGCCAGCAGCCGCGGUAAUACGUAGGUGGCAAGCGUUGUCCGGAAUU